rnacentral:piRNA from 1 species
UGGAAAUAGGUCUGCGGCAGAAAGG